rnacentral:lncRNA from 1 species
AUGGAUCGCGCUCCCGCUUCCCUCCCCUCCCCUCCCGCCCCUCCCUCCGCCGAAGGUGGGACGGCCGUGCUGCGCCGUGCACACGGAGAUACAACCGCGGAGCCGCGCCGUCGGGUGCUGCCGGACCGGGCCGGGGCUGGGCGGGGCGGAUGGGGGGGUGAGGAGGGGGCGCAGCCCUCGUGGGGAACCGGGGCGGGUCGGGCCGUACGGACAGUGUCCGCCGAUCGGCGGCCGCGAUCCUCUGCGACCGCUUGGAUCUGUUUUCACACCGGGAACAGCCCGGGUCACCCCCGCUGGUCGCUCUCCCGGUCCCCGGCCCGGGGAAUCUCGUUACACCGGUGCUUGAUCCGAGUCCCCCGGCCCCGCUGCCGGCUCAGGGCGGUGUUUAACAGGGCUGGGCAGGGACAGGGGCUCCGUCCGCCUCCCCGCAGCCGAACAGCAGCACCUUCCCGGGAGGGCUUCGAGCCCCGGACCGUCGGGAUCGGCACCGGGCGCGGCUGCGGGCGGGGCGGGCGCGGCCCACACUACACUUCCCGUCGGGCCGUGCUGCCGCGGGACCCGCCCCCGCCCCUCCCGGCAUCCGGUUGGCCGCCUCCCCGCUGCCGGCCGUCCCCCUCCUCCUCCCGUUGGCUGCCGGAGCCGUCGCUCCGCGGGGGGUUGAAGGAGGGUGGGGGAGCGGCGGGGCGCUGGCGGCACGCGGAGCUCGGCGCUGCGGGACGGGAUGGAACGGAACGGAACAGAACAGGACGGGAUGGAACAGAACAGGACGGGCAGCUCCUGCACGAGGCAGGUGAGGAGCGGGACGGGACGGGACGCGGCGCUGCCUCCGCUGCCCACAGCCCCGCUGCCCCGGUUCUCGGGGCGCCCUCUGCUGGCGAGGCGGCUUCUCGGGACCCCCGCCCCGGGGCCUCUCGUCCGGCUGCUGCCCCGCCGGGCGCUGACCGGAGUGAGGCCGCUGCUGGCGGAGCCUCGUGCCGGCGGCGUCGGGCGGAAUCCGGAGCGCUCGGUUCUGCGACCGUUCUGCCGCUGUUCUGCCGCUGUCGUCUCCGUUCCGAGUCGCUCGGACAGACGUUUCUGUUUCCCGAUGUAUUUACGCGGCCCUUCCCUCCCUCCGACGGGAGCUGCGCCCCGAGCACGGGCUGCGUCCCGCCCUGUUUGCCGGUUGUUUGUUUGUUAACGUCAUUUCUCGCCUGCUCAACUUUCUGGCCCGGCCGGCACCGAGAGCGGGGACGAAGCGGCGCGGAGCCGGAGCUGAUCCUUUGCUUUGGGCGUGAUCCAUUUUAG